CCCCCGCCAACCCCCACCCCUUCCUUUUUAGUCUUAUCAAAACUACACCUCACUCUUCCUUUUCUUCCUUCUUACUUCUUCCCAAAAACCCUAAAAUGGAACAUCCAUUCUUCAUCAAUGGCCCUCCUACAAACCGAUCUGAAGCUUUACGAUGGCUAUCAAUCGCAGAAAAGCUCUUAACAAAUCGUGAUCUUGUUGGUAGCAAAUCAUUUGCGACCCGUGCCCGUGAAUCCGACCCGUCUUUAGCUCACCCAAUUGAUCAAAUUCUCAGCAUCGUCGACACCCUAACCGCCGGCGACAAACGUAUCAACAAUCAUCACUUUGAUUACUACUCAAUCCUUCAGAUCCCUCCUAAUCAAACCCAGAACUUCGAAUUCAUCGCCGAUCAGUAUCGCCGAUUUGCUCUUCUUUUGAAUCCUCAGAACAACAACUUCCCGUUUUCGGAUCAAGCUUUUGGACUUGUUGUUGAUGCGUUUUCAGUUCUUUCUGACCCUUUGAGGAAAAGUAUGUAUGAUAAAGAAUUGGGUUUUUUUCUUAAUCUUUACCCAGUUGCUUCUGCACCUACUCCGGUGAGUUUUGUGCAGCAUGGUGGGUUUAAUCAAAUGCCGGGGUCGACUGCAGACCAACUGUUUGUGAAUAUGCCUAGUCAAGAUCAAGGUUCACAUGCUACUGGAGUGAGCUUUAGUAGAGAUCCGCAAGCUGGAAUUUCAAUGCCGGUUACAUUUCUGAAUCGUGAGCAAGAAACUAUGACUAUGGGAAGCUCGGGUUCGGAGCAAGAGCACCAGCAGCAGCAGCAUCAACAACCUGUAACGUCUCUGAGACAACAGACACAACAACAACCAGUGAGUUCUCUUUCGUUUUCAAAUAUAGAUGAACAACCUGCUACAUUCUUGAAUUUAAACCAACCACAGCCGGUAACUUCUGAGAGGAGCUUCAAUAGAGAAAACCCACCAUUUGGUAUUGGGUUGAGCUCCACGAGAGGGCGAGAACCGGAGGUUACUGUUGAGCAGCACGGGAAUCAACAACCCCUAGAAAGAAAUGAAAAUGUAGUGGUGGGUAACAAUGAAAAUAGACCUGCUAGUACUAGUAAUAAUGCAAGUAAUGUGAAGGAGAAAGAAAGUAGAGUAGAUGCAUCAGCUAGGAAGAUACCCAGUUUCUGGACAGCUUGUCCUUAUUGUUAUGUUAUGCACGAGUACCCUUUGGAAUAUGUUGACUGUACACUAAAGUGUCAAAAUUGUAAGAGGGCUUUUCAAGCUGUUAAGGUUGCUGCUCCGCCGAUUAUUGAUGGAAAAGAAGCUUAUUUCUGUUGCUGGGGAUUUAUGCCUUUAGGAUUUUCUGUGGAGCACUUUCAGAGAAGUAGAAAUAAUGUUUCGAGCUGGUCUCCGUUUUCGCCCAUGUUUACUUGUCCGAGCUCAGGGGCGAAUGAGGGGAGGAAUGCAAAGAAUCAUGCUGUUGGGGGACAGAGUAACGUGAGUACUUUUGGCAAUUUGCAUAAUGCUGGUGGGUCGAAAAGUCGGAGUGGACGGAAGCAUUCUACUCCAAGGAUUUACAGUGAUGAUGAUGAUGACGACGAUGACGACGAUGUACUUGUUGACAUAUCGGAGGUACUUUCUGGAGAUGCUUGACAUAUCGGAGGUCCUUUCUUAGAUAUACUACUCCAAGGCAGAGAGAAAGGGAGUUGGCUCAAAUGGUGGUGGGGCUUAGGGAAAUCAACAAGAGUUACCUUUUUGCAAUCGAAAUGGUUGAAGAGUCUGGUGAACGCACUAUAUUAGCUACUGGUGAAUUGUACCUAGAAUACAUAAGAAGGAUCCUUGAGAGUUUUACUCCGGGGUGGUGGAACUGGAGGUAACUGAUCCAGUUGUUUCAUUCUGCAAAACUGUACUGGAUAUGUAAUGUAUUGCUGAAACACCAAACAAGAAAAAUAAAAUCAACAUGGUGAGACAAUCGGUUAACUUUUUGACCUGUGGAAGCUGAGAAAAUUGCUUUUCGUUCCUACUCUCUUAUAUUGAUUGUAGAUUGCUGAACCACUGGAGAGUGGACUUGAUAAGUACAUCGAGAACGGUGUUGUAAGAAACUUGGUGUCUUUUUCCAAACCAAAUAACAGUCUAUUUUGGCAUUUGGACCUGAUAAGCAGGUCGGUUCUUAGUAGUUUAGUUGUUUUACCACUUGGUUAUCUUUAACUUUUUUCUAGCAGAUUGCUUCUGUUGAAUGUUUUUUUUUCUUUCUGUUUUAACUCUUCAAAUAUAUUUUGAGAGGCGUAACAUCUUAUUGUAUGAUACACUUUCAAGUGAAGUGGGGAAGAGUUGUUGAAGAUUCUAUUGUUCAGGGGUAGCUUGAACUUCUUAACAGGAUUCGACAAGCUCUUCCGCACUUUCCCAUUUCAUUCAAAUCUGUACUCCCUCUAUCUCGAGCUUAUUUGAUGCAAUGAUUUCACCUGAGCCAUUGCAUCGUGAAAUAGUUCAGAUUAUUUGAACUACCCGACGUUUAGCCUGCUCUUCUUUCUUUGUGGAGACACCUUGUCUUAUGGAACUUGUGUAUUAUGUGCGCGAUUUUUUUGUAUUGUUUGUAUCAAACUUUAUGAAUGCAUUUAUUAUGACAUAAUGUUUGUUUCAA